rnacentral:rRNA from 1 species
UACGGAGGGUGCGAGCGUUACUCGGAAUUACUGGGCGUAAAGCGUGCGUAGGCGGUUCGUUAAGUUCGUUGUGAAAGCCCCGGGCUCAACCUGGGAAUGGCAAUGGAAACUGGCGGGCUGGAGUAUGGCAGAGGGGGGUGGAAUUCCGCGUGUAGCAGUGAAAUGCGUAGAGAUGCGGAGGAACACCGAUGGCGAAGGCAGCCCCCUGGGCCAAUACUGACGCUCAGGCACGAAAGCGUGGGGAGCAAACAGG